rnacentral:rRNA from 1 species
UACGGAGGGUGCAAGCGUUAUCCGGAUUCACUGGGUUUAAAGGGUGCGUAGGUGGAUUAGUAAGUCAGUGGUGAAAUCUCCGGGCUUAACCCGGAAACUGCCAUUGAUACUAUUAGUCUUGAAUACCGUGGAGUUCAGCGGAAAUAUGUCAUGUAGCGGUGAAAUGCUUAGAUAUGAACAUAGAACACCAAUUGCGAAGGCAGCUGGCUAACACGAAUAAUUGACACUCAGGCACGAAAG